AGUUGAUGAUGUCAUCAAUGUUAGGUGGGUAAUACAAUUUCUGUUAUUAUCUCAUGUGUAACUGGAAAAUGAUAAAUUAUUGGAUUUAGUACAAUGCAGUGAAGUAUGCCCAGUUGCUAAGCCUUUUUCUUGUCCCUCGUUCAAGUCAAAAAUUUCAAUGUCAAUUGUUACUAACUUGCAACUUUCCUCCUUGCCUUUUUGUCAUGAUAUGAAGCCUUGGCACAUAAAAUGUUGCAAUUGAAGUUCCCUUUUCUUUGUUAGAUAAAUCAUGCAUUAUUAUGAUGAAAUAUCAUGUGUAAACAUAAUGCUUGCAAUAGUUAAAAUUUGAUAGUUUUUUAAAUAUUGGAAGAAGGAAGACAUAUAUGUAUGAAGUAUUCUUGAUUUACAAUAGAUUGGCUUCUUUAAGCAUUACUAGGAAGCUAAGAUAGGAUCAUGUGGCAAAGGAAAAAUUGCAAAAGAUGGAAUCAUCAAUCAUUAAACUGAGUGUCAAAUUUUUCGUGGGGUUGUUCUCAAUAGCGUCAUUAAACUUUAAUUUUUCUUGAAAUUUCAAACUAUGCAAUUGUGUGUGA
rnacentral:misc_RNA from 1 species